GGCUUGUGGCUCAGUGGUAGAGCUCUUGCCUAGCAUGUAUGAGGAACUGGGUUUGAUCCUCAGUACCA
rnacentral:tRNA from 1 species